rnacentral:rRNA from 1 species
GACGAACGCUGGCGGCGUGCCUAAUACAUGCAAGUCGAGCGAGUCUGCCUUGAAGAUCGGAGUGCUUGCACUCUGUGAAACCAGAUACAGGCUAGCGGCGGACGGGUGAGUAACACGUGGGUAACCUGCCCAAGAGAUCGGGAUAACACCUGGAAACAGAUGCUAAUACCGGAUAACAACAGAUGAUGCCUAUCAACUGUUUAAAAGAUGGUUCUGCUAUCACUCUUGGAUGGACCUGCGGUGCAUUAGCUAGUUGGUAGGGUAACGGCCUACCAAGGCGAUGAUGCAUAGCCGAGUUGAGAGACUGAUCGGCCACAUUGGGACUGAGACACGGCCCAAACUCCUACGGGAGGCAGCAGUAGGGAAUCUUCCACAAUGGACGCAAGUCUGAUGGAGCAACGCCGCGUGAGUGAAGAAGGGUUUCGGCUCGUAAAGCUCUGUUGUUGGUGAAGAAGGACAGGGGUAGUAACUGACCUUUGUUUGACGGUAAUCAAUUAGAAAGUCACGGCUAACUAAGUG